UAUACAUGCAAAUUCACAUUCCUGAAGCAUUCCCACUAACUCUGCCCUUCUGUUCUGGCAGAAUGAGGAAAAACUGUGGGCUGCCAAAAGGUGAAGACAACCACUUUAUCUGCAGGAGAAUAUUCAUUUACGGCACUUCACUGGUGAUACAGGUUUGAAAUGGGAAAAUGGGCUUAGAGCCUUCUUCAGGAGAGAUUUACUCUCAGCUUUCUCCAGUGUGACUGCUUUGAGUCUGUAAGGUCAUCAUGGUUGAAGGCAUGAGGAUGAGGACAUCAGAGCCUUUGCCCACUGAUGACAAUUACUCUGGAGACAAACACAGCUCAGAAGACAAAUGUUAUGAGCUACCUGUAAGUUCUGGUUCACAAAACAGAUGAGAACCCAGAGAUACUCCUGAACUUGGAAAU